rnacentral:rRNA from 1 species
AUUGAACGCUGGCGGCAUGCCUUACACAAGCAAGUCGAACGGUAACAGGUCUUCGGAUGCUGACGAGUGGCGAACGGGUGAGUAAUACAUCGGAACGUGCCUAGUAGUGGGGGAUAACUACUCGAAAGAGUGGCUAAUACCGCAUGAGAUCUACGGAUGAAAGCAGGGGAUCGCAAGACCUAGGGCUACCAGAGCGGGCGAAGGCAGAGUAGGUAGUUGGUGGGAUAAAAGCUUACCAAGCCGACGAUCUGUAGCUGGUCUGAGAGGACGAUCAGCCACACUGGGACUGAGACACGGCCCAGACUCCUACGGGAGGCAGCAGUGGGGAAUUUUGGACAAUGGGCGAAAGCCUGAUCCAGCAAUGCCGCGUGCAGGAUGAAGGCCUUCGGGUUGUAAACUGCCUUUGUACGGAACGAAAAGCCCCGGGUUAAUACCCUGGGGUCAUGACGGUACCGUAAGAAUAAGCACCGGCUAACUACGUGCCAGCAGCCGCCGCGG